GAUGAACGCUGGCGGCGUGCCUAAUACAUGCAAGUCGAGCGAACAGACGAGGAGCUUGCUCCUCUGACGUUAGCGGCGGACGGGUGAGUAACACGUGGAUAACCUACCUAUAAGACUGGGAUAACUUCGGGAAACCGGAGCUAAUACCGGAUAAUAUAUUGAACCGCAGGGUUCAAUAGUGAAAGACGGUUUUGCUGUCACUUAUAGAUGGAUCCGCGCCGCAUUAGCUAGUUGGUAAGGUAACGGCUUACCAAGGCAACGAUGCGUAGCCGACCUGAGGGGGUGAUCGGCCACACUGGAACUGAGACACGGUCCAGACUCCUACGGGAGGCAGCAGUAGGGAAUCUUCCGCAAUGGGCGAAAGCCUGACGGAGCAACGCCGCGUGAGUGAUGAAGGUCUUCGGAUCGUAAAACUCUGUUAUUAGGGAAGAACAAAUGUGUAAGUAACUAUGCACGUCUUGACGGUACCUAAUCAGAAAGCCACGGCUAACUACGUG
rnacentral:rRNA from 1 species